GUCCUUAGUUACCAGCACGUUAUGGUGGGCACUCUAAGGAGACUGCCGGUGCAAACCGGAGGAAGGUGGGGAUGACGUCAAGUCAUCAUGGCCCUUACGGCCUGGGCUACACACGUGCUACAAUGGUCGGUACAAAGGGUUGCCAAGCCGCGAGGUGGAGCUAAUCCCAUAAAACCGAUCGUAGUCCGGAUCGCAGUCUGCAACUCGACUGCGUGAAGUCGGAAUCGCUAGUAAUCGUGAAUCAGAAUGUCACGGUGAAUACGUUCCCGGGCCUU
rnacentral:rRNA from 1 species